UACGAAGGGGGCUAGCGUUGCUCGGAAUCACUGGGCGUAAAGGGUGCGUAGGCGGGUCUUUAAGUCAGGGGUGAAAUCCUGGAGCUCAACUCCAGAACUGCCUUUGAUACUGGCGAUCUUGAGUCCGGGAGAGGUGAGUGGAACUGCGAGUGUAGAGGUGAAAUUCGUAGAUAUCCGCAAGAACACCAGUGGCGAAGGCGGCUCACUGGCCCGGUACUGACGCUGAGGUGCGAAAGCGUGGGGAGCAAACAGG
rnacentral:rRNA from 1 species